rnacentral:lncRNA from 1 species
GAAACGAUUCGAGUUAUUACCUCUAUUUACAUUUUAUCAAUUGUAUUUGACCCGUGUGCGACAACAGAUCAAAUUGGGGCACCCCUUUUAUUCUUAUUAUAUAGAAUAAAGGCAGUGCGACCCAUUCAAACAAAAAAUCCCCUUAUCAAGAGUAAUGAUAUGUGUCGACUGACUAAAUUCAAUUCAAGAAAAAUGAUAAAUGUCUCAUGUCAAGGACAAUUAUUUCAAAAUAUCUUAAAAAUGAAUAUAUGAACUUUACAACAUCAAAAGAAACAAUUAACGUUCAAGAAGAGUUCACAUGUCUAAAAGGACUAGCAUGAUAAGUGGACUCCCAACUAUAUGAGCCCCAAUACCAUAAAAAAAAGACAUUCAAGUGUGGCUAUGAUCCACACCAAUAUGGAUCGAGAAGACUUAUCAUUACUUGUUCAAAUUGAUGCUUCAAAAAGUAUUACAUCUAAAUGAAGACCCGCUAGGUUGAAAAUCCAAAAGGACGACCCUGUCAAAGAUAUCCUCCCAUUUACUAAGACAUAUAUUAUUUAAUUAUGUUGCCACAUAUGUCCUCCCAUUUAUCAAGCGCUAUGCCAGUUGACUUUACGUGGAGUCUAAAUGCUAUAAAUCGAUUAUCGCUGAAAAUAAGAAAUCAACUUUGCAUACAAAUAAGAAAAUAUAUAUCAGGAUGCAGCCAUCAAAUCAACCUUGUUUUCCAUCACCUUCAUAUAUAUAUAUAUAUAUAUAUAUAUAUAUAUAUCACAACAUAAUUAUUCAUGUAGCACACAACCUCAAGUGAUUCUCUCAUAUCAAGUCUAGCUAUCAUAAUGCAAUCUAAGUCUUAAAGUAGGCAUCAAACUCUAAACCUUGUCAAAGAUAUCCUCUCAUUUACCAAGAUAUAUAUCAUUUAAUCAUGUUGCCACAUAUGUCCUCCCAUUUAUCAAGCGCUAUGCCACUUGACUUUACGUGGAGUCUAAAUGUUAUAAGUCGGUUAUCGCUGAAAAUAAGAAAUCAACUUUGCAUACAAAUAAGAAAACAUAUAUCAGGAUAUAGCCAUCGAAUCAACAAUGGACAUCACCACAUAAAUUCCGUAUAUGACUUCCAAGUUAUUGUCACUCUACCCCUAAGUACUAAGGAUUCAUAUCAUUCAAAUAUUUAAUUGAGUGCCAUUAAUUCCAUUCUUUAUUCUCACUUCUUUCUUAUUUGAAAACAACCAUUAAAUUAUCAUCAUAAUCCAAGGUUAAUUAUCCUCUAAUUAAUCUAACAAACACAGGUAUUCAAAUAACACAUAGAACAUAUAAUCAAUGAAGCUUUCGAUGCACAAACAAUUAAUCAAGCUUAAGAUAUGAUAAACUACAUAAGACCGAUGUAACCUCAUUAAUAACCUCAUGACAUAGUAGCGAGUGUUAGCUCUCUGUAGGUGUUUAUCUCUAGUAGAGUUUGGAUUGUUAUAUAUAUAUAUAUAAAAGCUGACAUGACAAACGUAGAAAGGACAAAUAUAAAAAUAAAAACGUGUAUAGGGACAAAAGAUAUAUGCUUUCAUUUAAUUUUCGUCCUUGUAAGUUUGCGCUAUUUUUUUUUUCUUCGUCCCUUCUAUGUUUGUCAUGUCAGUUUUUUUUUUAACCGUCACUAAUAAUAUGAACGAUUUUAAAACAAAAUUAAACUUACAUGAUUAAAUUUGAAAUAAAUAAAAAAUUAAAUAAACAAUAAUAAAAAAAAUGUUAACAUAAAGGGAACAAACAUUAAUUUGGAUCAAUUUUGACAUACCCUAACAUCCUAAUAACCUUAGUAAAGUAAAAAUAAAUAAUUUAGACAUUAACUUCUUCUUAAGCUUUUAAGAUGAAAACUCUAGUGUUUCUAAAAGAUCAAACAUAUCUUCGUUACACCAAAAACUAACUCAAACUGGUAUUAGAACCUCGAAACAUAUCAAGACUCACAACUAGGACUGUUCAUGGUUGUUUUUUUAAAAAACCAAACCAUAUUCAUUUUAAAACCAAUAUAUGGAUUUAGAUUUAGAACCAAAUCCAUUAUUUGGUUUAAAACCGGUUAUAAAACCAAUUGUAAAUUUGAUUAUGAUUAAAUAACCUGUUUAUAAUUAAGCAACCGGUUUUGAAAAUUUUAAUUUUAAAAUCAAUUUUUUUUUGCAAAAUUGGUUAAAAUUUAAUUAUUUUUUAAAAAAUUAUUUAUUCAUAGUUUAAAAAUCGGUUAUUUAACAAAAUUGAUUUUUUGGAUAAAUUUUUUUAAAAAGAUUCUCACCAAAUUUUUCGAGAAAAAAUUCGAUUUAAAAUUUUUUUGAGAAUAAAAAGUUUUUUUUUUUUUACUUUUUUCCGAUAAUUUUUUGAAAAGAAAAUUCAAAUUUUUUUCAAGAAUUAAAAUCUCAAAAUUAACAAAAUAUUUGUAGUGGAUAAAAACCAAAUUCAAAUAUAAACACAAGUGAUUAUCCAACCGGUUUAUAAAUAAAUUGAAUUAUAACCAUAUGAUUUUUUAAUUGAAUACUUAAAAUGAAUUUGAAUCUGAUUUUGAAUUUAGGCCUCGUAACCGAAUUUUUUGCACAGUCCUGCCUACAACAUAGAGAGAAAAAGANNNNNNNNNNNNNAGAGAUAUUGUUUUUAC